UACGGAGGGAGCUAGCGUUGUUCGGAAUUACUGGGCGUAAAGCGCACGUAGGCGGCUUCUUAAGUCAGGGGUGAAAUCCUGGAGCUCAACUCCAGAACUGCCUUUGAUACUGAGGAGCUUGAGUCCGGGAGAGGUGAGUGGAACUCCGAGUGUAGAGGUGAAAUUCGUAGAUAUUCGGAAGAACACCAGUGGCGAAGGCGGCUCACUGGCCCGGUACUGACGCUGAGGCACGAAAGCGUGGGGAGCAAACAGG
rnacentral:rRNA from 1 species